rnacentral:rRNA from 1 species
CAGCAGCCGCGGUAAUACGAAGGGUGCAAGCGUUAAUCGGAAUUACUGGGCGUAAGGCGUGCGUAGGCGGUGAGUUAAGUCUGCUGUGAAAUCCCCGGGCUCAACCUGGGAAUGGCAGUGGAUACUGGCUCGCUAGAGUGUGUCAGAGGAUGGUGGAAUUCCCGGUGUAGCGGUGAAAUGCGUAGAGAUCGGGAGGAACAUCAGUGGCGAAGGCGGCCAUCUGGGACAACACUGACGCUGAGGCACGAAAGCGUGGGGAGCAAACAGGAUUAGAUACCCCCGUAGUCCCUGUCUCUUAUAC